CAACCCCGGGGAAACUCGGGCUAAUACCGCAUACGCCCUACGGGGGAAAGCGGGGGACCUUCGGGCCUCGCGCUAUCAGAUGAGCCGCGCCCGAUUAGCUUGUUGGUGGGGUAACGGCCUACCAAGUCGACGAUCUAUAGCUGGUUUGAGAGGACGAUCAGCAACACUGGGACUGAGACACGGCCCAGACUCCUACGGGAGGCAGCAGUGGAGAAUCUUGGCCAAUGGGCGCAAGCCUGAUCCAGCCAUGCCGCGUGAGCGAUGAAGGCCUUAGGGUCGUAAAACUCUUUCAGCUGUGAAGAUAAUGACGGUAGCAGCAGAAGAAACCCCGGCUAACUCCGUGCCAGCAGCCGCGGUAAUACGGAGGGGGUUAGCGUUGUUCGGAAUUACUGGGCGUAAAGCGCGCGUAGGCGGGACCGUAAGUCAGGGGUGAAAUCCCGGGGCUCAACCCCGGAACUGCCUUUGAUACUGCGGUUCUUGAGUUCGAGAGAGGUGGGCGGAAUUCCGAGUGUAGAGGUGAAAUUCGUAGAUAUUCGGAGGAACACCAGUGGCGAAGGCGGCUUUCUGGCCCGUGCCUGACGCUGAGGCGCGAGAGCGUGGGGAGCAAACUGGAUUAGAUACCCUGGUAGUC
rnacentral:rRNA from 1 species